rnacentral:rRNA from 2 species
CAGUGGCGAACGGGUGAGUAACACGUGGGCAAUCUGCCCUGCACUCUGGGACAAGCCCUGGAAACGGGGUCUAAUACCGGAUAYGACCUUCCUCCGCAUGGGGGUUGGUGGAAAGCUCCGGCGGUGCAGGAUGAGCCCGCGGCCUAUCAGCUUGUUGGUGGGGUAAUGGCCUACCAAGGCGACGACGGGUAGCCGGCCUGAGAGGGCGACCGGCCACACUGGGACUGAGACACGGCCCAGACUCCUACGGGAGGCAGCAGUGGGGAAUAUUGCACAAUGGGCGAAAGCCUGAUGCAGCGACGCCGCGUGAGGGAUGACGGCCUUCGGGUUGUAAACCUCUUUCAGCAGGGAAGAAGCGCAAGUGACGGUACCUGCAGAAGAAGCACCGGCUAACUACGUGCCAGCAGCCGCGGUAAUACGUAGGGUGCGAGCGUUGUCCGGAAUUAUUGGGCGUAAAGAGCUCGUAGGCGGCCUGUCGCGUCGGAUGUGAAAGCCCGGGGCUUAACCCCGGGUCUGCAUUCGAUACGGGCAGGCUAGAGUGUGGUAGGGGAGAUCGGAAUUCCU